AUCACUACAGUGGAUUUUGCUUAUAGUUGAGCACUUCUGGCAACGUAUGCGUCACUUAUCUUCUGUUUCUAAACGAAGGUUGGGCGACUUUAAAGGCCUUAUACACAACGUACAUAUACUCGGCUGCAAGAGUCUGUUAUAAUUUUAUAGCUUAUAACUCAAUUAAAAGUAAAUAUUAUCAAUGUAUUGGGUUUAGGUUAGGGGUUAGGCAGCCGAAGAAAUUAAUUGAGUUAUAACGCACAUUUUUUGCAGUCUCACAUAUGUGGUUGGGGCUUUUAAGCUUUUCCGACUCUGGUUUGUAAACAGAAGAUAAGUGGUCGGCGGCCAACAACUAACUGAUGUAUACGCUGCCACAAACGCACAUCUUGGCAAAAGUACAUCGUAAUUGUGCAGUUUUUCUUGAAAAUUAAGCGAGUUAUACAUAUAACAUAUGCAUUCCUUAUACAUAUAGGAGAAAGUUUUUCAAAAUGUUGUUUUACAACAUGUUCAAAAAUCAUUGAAAUCGUAGGAUAAUUAACAUUUUUAUAGUUUCAUCAAGAAACAAAAAAAGUACAGAAUAUAGCAAUCAUUUAUACAAACAUCACUGAAACUUUGAUAUAAUUAAAUAAAUUAUAUUAUUACGAAAAGUUAAUGUAUACAAACCUGCAAUUCUCGUUCUGUAUAUUCCGGUAUGGAGACCAGAAAAAAAAAAUGAUGAAAGAAGAAACGAAAAUGUUCAAGAAGCUGGUAUGAAAAUGAUCGAGAAACGAACAAUAUGUAUUCUGUAUGUAAAUGUUUGUCUCAAUGGUUCUCAUUUCCUCCUGUUAUAAUACAUAAUAUAUUUUUUUUUCUUUUUAUGACGUAAUCUUAUUUCUACUUUAUAAAUCCUAGUAUAAGUCACUAGAAAUUAAAAGUUAGUAUAAAAACAUAUCAAUGUACUAAAUGAAAUUAUAAAUAUUGUGUUUUCGUAACGAACAUACGAUUUCUAAAUUUCGUAAAUUAUAUGCAAAUAUAAAAUGAAAAACAUAUAAUUCUGUAUCAUGAGACAAAAACAAUUUGCACGAUUGAAAUUAAUUAAAAAAUAACGUUUAACAAGCAUAAACGAUUAUUAACGAUUAAUGAAGAACAAAACUUAUGUUCGCUAUUAAAAAAUUCUAGUGUUUCAUAAUUAUCAACAAGAUUUCUCAACAUUUGUCGCAACUAAAACAAAAUUCAGCCACAUUUCUUAAAUAAAAUUAGAGGACUAAGAACCACUGAUACUGGAAAAAAACUUACCUUAACCAGGCCUCUGGGCUGAUUCAUCACGACAUUCGCCUCUGGGUUCUGGUUCCGCUACAAUACAACAACAACGUAAACAAAACCGCUAAUCUAUCGUAUUCUAAAAAAAAAAGGCAGAC